rnacentral:rRNA from 1 species
AGCUCCAAUAGCGUAUAUUAAAGUUGUUGCGGUUAAAAAGCUCGUAGUUGGAUUUCUGUCAACGAGUGGCGCUCCGCCCCUUGUGGUGAGUAGUCGUCAUGCCGUUGGCAUCUUUCUGGGGAGUGUAUCUGCACUUCAUUGUGUGGUGCAUAAGCCAGGACUUUUACUUUGAGGAAAUGAGAGUGUUUCAAGCAGGCGCACGCCGUGAAUACGUUAGCAUGGAAUAAUAGCAUCGGAUCUCGCUCCAAAGCUGUUGGUUUCUUGGGUCGAGAUAAAGGUGAAUAGGGAUUGUUGGGGGCAUUCGUAUUUAACUGUCAGAGGUGAAAUUCUUGGAUUUGUUGAAGACGGACUACUGCGAAAGCAUCUGCCAAAGAUGUUCUCA